rnacentral:misc_RNA from 1 species
GAUGAAGAACGUAGCGAAAUGCGAUACGUAAUGUGAAUUGCAGAAUUCAGUGAAUCAUCGAAUCUUUGAACGCAUAUUGCGCUCUCUGGUAUUCCGGAGAGCAUGCUUGUUUGAGUAUCAGUAAACACCUCAACUCCCCUUUCUUUUUUGAAAUGGGAGCUGGACUUGAGUGAUCCCAACGCUUUUCUCACCGAAAAGUGGCGGGUUACUUGAAAUGCAGGUGCAGCUGGACUUUUCUCUGAGCUAAAAGCAUAUCUAUUUAGUCUGCCUAAAAACAGAUUAUUACCUUUGCUGCAGCUAACAUAAAGGAGAUUAGUUCUUGUGCUGACUGAUGCAGGAUUCACAGAGACAGCUUCGGCUGGCCUUUGUAAACUCGAUCUCAAAUCAAGUAAGACUACCCGCUGAACUUAAGCAUAACAAUAAGCGGAGGA